AGUUCGAUCAUGGCUCAGAUUGAACGCUGGCGGGAUGCUACACAUGCAAGUCGAACGGCAGCACGGACUUCGGUCUGGUGGCAGUGGCGAACGGGUGAGUAAUGUAUCGGAACGUGCCUAGUAGCGGGGGAUAACUACGCGAAAGCGUAGCUAAUACCGCAUACGCCCUUCGGGGGAAAGCGGGGGACCUUCGGGCCUCGCACUAUUAGAGCGGCCGAUAUCGGAUUAGCUAGUUGGUUGGGGUAACGGCUCACCAAGGCGACGAUCCGUAGCUGGUUUCGAGAGGACGACCAGCCACACUGGGACUGAGACACGGCCCAGACUCCUACGGGAGGCAGCAGUGGGGAAUUUUGGACAAAGGGGAAACCCUGAUCCAGCCAUCCCGCGUGCGAUGAAGGCCUUCAGGUUGUAAACACUUUUGGCAGGAAAGAAACGGCACGGGAUAAUACCCCGUGCAACUGAUACCUGCAGAAUAAGCACCGGCCCAACUACGUGCCAGCAGCCGCGGUAAUACGUAGGGUGCGAAGCGUUAAUCGGAAUUACUGAAUAAAGCGUGCGCAGGCAGUUCGGAAAGAUGUGAAAUCCCAGAGCUUAACUUUGGAACUUCAUUUUUAACUACCGAGCUAGAGUGUGUCAGAGGGAGGUGGAAUUCCGCGUGUAGCAGUGAAAUGCGUAGAUAUGCGGAGGAACACCGAUGGCGAAGGCAGCCUCCUGGGAUAACGCGACGCUCAUGCGAAAGCGUGGGGAGCAAAACAGGAUUAGAUACCCUGGUAGUCCACGCCCUAAACGAUGUCAACUAGCUGUUGGGGCCUUCGGGCCUUGGUAGCGCAACUGCGCGUGAAGUUGACCGCCUGGGGAGAUACGGUCGCAAGAUUAAAACUCAAAGGAAUUGACGGGGACCCGCACAAGCGUUGGAUGAUGAUGUGGAUUAAUUCGAUGCAACGCGAAAAACCUUACCUACCCUUAUGACAUGUCUGGAAUGCCGAAGAGAUUUGGCAGUGCUCGCAAGAGAACCGGAACACAGGUGCUGCAUGGCUGUCGUCAGCUCGUGUCGUGAGAUGUUGGGUUAAGUCCCGCAACGAGCGCAACCCUUGUCAUUAGUUGCUACGAAAGGGCCUCUAAUGAGACUGCCGGUGACAAACCGGAGGAAGGUGGGGAUGACGUCAAGUCCUCAUGGCCCUUAUGGGUAGGGCUUCACACGUCAUACAAUGGUCGGGACAGAGGGUCGCCAACCCGCGAGGGAGCCAAUCCCAGAAACCCGAUCGUAGUCCGGAUCGCAGGUCACAACUCGACUGCGUGAAGUCGGAAUCGCUGGUAAUCGCGGAUCAGCAUGUCGCGGUGAAUACGUUCCCGGGUCUUGUACACACCGCCCGUCACACCAUGGGGUGGGUUUACCAAGUAGUUAGCCUAACCGCAGAGGCGAUUACCACGGUAGGAUUCAUGACUGGGGUGAAGUCGUAACAAGGUAA
rnacentral:rRNA from 1 species